rnacentral:snRNA from 1 species
ACAAACAGAUCUUUUUGAAAU